rnacentral:rRNA from 1 species
GCAAGUCGAACGCGAAAGUUUUCUUCGGAAAACGAGUAGAGUGGCCCACGGGUGAGUAAGCGUAAUUAAUUUACUCUUGCAUCUGGGAUAACCCUCCGAAAGGUGUGCUAAUACCGGAUACGUUGAUUUAUCAAGAAAGGUGGCCUCUGAUUUAAGCUACCGUGCCGGGAGGAGCUUGCGUACCAUUAGCUAGUUGGUGGGGUAAUGGCCUACCAAGGCAACGAUGGUUAGCGGGUCUGAGAGGAUGAUC